AUCUGGCUCAGGACGAACGCUGGCGGCGUGCCUAACACAUGUAAGUCGAACGGAGAAUUUUAUUUCGGUAGAAUUCUUAGUGGCGAACGGGUGAGUAACGCGUAGGCAACCUGCCCUUUAGACGGGGACAACAUUCCGAAAGGAGUGCUAAUACCGGAUGUGAUCAUCUUGCCGCAUGGCAGGAUGAAGAAAGAUGGCCUCUACAAGUAAGCUAUCGCUAAAGGAUGGGCCUGCGUCUGAUUAG
rnacentral:rRNA from 1 species